rnacentral:rRNA from 1 species
UGGGGAAUAUUGGGCAAUGGGGGAAACCCUGACCCAGCAACGCCGCGUGAAGGACGAAGGCCUUCGGGUUGUAAACUUCUUUGAUCAGGGACGAAAAAAAUGACGGUACCUGAAGAACAAGCCACGGCUAACUACGUGCCAGCAGCCGCGGUAAUACGUAGGUGGCGAGCGUUAUCCGGAUUUACUGGGUGUAAAGGGCGUGCAGGCGGGUCCGCAAGUCGGGUGUGAAAUAUCCGGGCUUAACCCGGAAAGGUCAUUCGAAACUGCGGAUCUUGAGUACUGGAGAGGACAGUGGAAUUCCUGGUGUAGCGGUAAAAUGCGUAGAUAUCAGGAGGAACACCAGUGGCGAAGGCGGCUGUCUGGACAGUAACUGACGCUGAGGCGCGAAAGCGUGGGGAGCAAACAG